rnacentral:rRNA from 1 species
AUUGAACGCUGGCGGCAUGCUUUACACAUGCAAGUCGAACGGCAACACGGGGGGCAACCCUGGUGGCGAGUGGCGAACGGGUGAGUAAUACAUAGGAACGUAUCCUGAAAUGGGGGAUAGCUCGGCGAAAGCCGGGAUUAAUACCGCAUACGAUCUACGGAUGAAAGCAGGGGAUUCGCAAGAACCUUGCGUUUCUGGAGCGGCCUAUGUCUGAUUAGCUAGUUGGCGGGGAAAAGCCCACCAAGGCGACGACGGGUAGCCGGCCUGAGAGGGCGACCGGCCACACUGGGACUGAGACACGGCCCAGACUCCUACGGGAGGCAGCAGUGGGGAAUAUUGCACAAUGGGGCGAAAGCCUGAUGCAGCGACGCCGCGUGAGGGAUGACGGCCUUGGUGUAG